UCCUAUCAGACACAGCUUGUUUCUUUUUGCUCUCUGGAUUAAAGGUUUGGUUCCUGUAACAUCAGAAUCUGCCGCUGACUAGACUGAACUUCAGCUCAUUCAAUCUGUGUUUCUAUCAGCAGGUCUAACAGAUGGCAGUGACGUUGUCACUCAGACUCCUCUGCUGUGGGUCAACCAGAGUCAGUCCACCACCAUGACCUGCAGUCACAAUAAAGACGCUACUUACUACCAGAUGUACUGGUAUCAGCAGCUGCCGGGUCAAAACAUUAAGCUAAUAGUUUUUACAACACCAUCUCCUCCAUUCCAGUAUGAAAAAGGCUUCAGCAAGGAGAAGUUUCCAGCGGACAGGAAGGACGCUCUGAGCGGAUCUCUGACGGUGAAGCAGCUGCAGCCUGAAGACAGCGGAGUGUAUUUCUGCUCCGUCAGUCAACACAGUGAUGAGGCCGAGUCAAAGAGCUGCACAAAAACCCAGCUGCUGGAGGCACAGUGAAGUUACACUUCAUCGGCAGCAGGGGGAGCUCUCAAUUCAAACUCUGUAGCAUCUCAACAUGUUUACAAAGGGCGGAGUAUUU